rnacentral:rRNA from 1 species
UACGGAGGGUGCAAGCGUUAAUCGGAAUUACUGGGCGUAAAGCGCACGCAGGUGGCUGAGUCAGUCGAUUGUGAAAGCCCUGGGCUUAACCUGGGAAUUGCAGUCGAUACUACUCAGCUAGAGUAUGGGAGAGGGCAGUGGAAUUCCCGGUGGUAGCGGUGAAAUGCGUAGAUAUCGGGAGGAACAUCAGUGGCGAAGGCGGCUGCCUGGCCCAAUACUGACACUCAGGUGCGACAGCGUGGGGAGCAAACAGG